rnacentral:rRNA from 1 species
UGGGGAAUAUUGGGCAAUGGGCGAAAGCCUGACCCAGCGACGCCGCGUGGGUGAUGAAGGCCUUCGGGUUGUAAAGCCCUUUCGUGCGGAAAGAACAGUCCCGUGGUUAAUACCCGCGGGAUUUGACGGUACCGCAGGAAGAAGCACCGGCUAACUCCGUGCCAGCAGCCGCGGUAAUACGGAGGGUGCAAGCGUUGUUCGGGAUUACUGGGCGUAAAGGGCGCGUAGGCGGUAAUGUAAGUCAGAUGUGAAAUCCUUCGGCUUAACCGGAGAACUGCAUCUGAAACUGCAUAACUAGAGUACAGAAGAGGGAAACGGAAUUCCCGGUGUAGAGGUGAAAUUCGUAGAUAUCGGGAGGAACACCAGUGGCGAAGGCGGUUUCCUGGUCUGAUACUGACGCUGAGGCGCGAAAGCGUGGGGAGCAAACAG